UUUCGAGCGCCCGAGGUAUCGUCAUUUCCUCUUCCUGUCCGGCUGAGGGGGCGGGGACGUGUGGGUAAGCGGAGUCGCUGGGUAAUGCGCCAUGUGAGGCGCGGUGGGACUGUCGUUCCUGGACCAACGCCGAGACUUCCUAAAUCCCUCCGGAAAGGGAUGCGUUGGGCCUGUGAUCUGGCGACUAGGAGGGUCAGGAGUCCCAGUAGAGGGAAUCACGGGAAAAGAAUGAAAGAGGGAGGCGAGCCUGGCACGGCUUCCUGGAGAAACAAACUAAGCUAACAAAUUUUUCGGAUCCUUUGUGCAGCUAAUUUUACAGUACUGUUUCAUACAUCUUAUUAUAUUUGGACAUCACGGCCUGUUGAGUGGUCUCCCUCUCUGCUGCAAGCUCUGCUGUAAUCCAGAGACACUCAAUUAUCUCUGUAGGAUAAUUUAUUCAUUCGAUUAACAUACAUUACUACUAACUUUUUAUAAACCAGUACUGUUCCAAGCACCGGAGAUACAUAGCUAUGAACGAAACAAAUAUCCCUGCUCAGGGAAUUCACAAUAGAGUGAGGGGAAAUAAGCGAAUAAACAAUGAAUCUCUUGUUCUGAGGGAAGCCAUGUACAUCAUUAGCAGUUCUAUAAAGAGGAUCACAUGGCAAGAAACUGAAACAUUCUGCCAGCUGCCCUGUGAAAGAACUUGGAAGUAGACCCUCCAGCCCUAAUCAAGUCUUCAGAGACUGUACUCAGCCAACAAUUGACUGCAACCUCAUAAGAGACCCUGAGCCAGACCGCCCAACGAGAAACUACUAUGGAAAUUAUGUUAGACAAAAAACAAAUGCAAGCAGUUUUCUUAUUCGAGUUCAAAAUGGGCUGCAAAGCAGCAGAGACAACUUGCAACAUCAAGAGUGCAUUUGGCCCAGGAACUGCUAAUGAACGUACAGUGCAGUGGUGGUUCAAGAAGUUUUGCAAAGGAUGGCCAGGC
rnacentral:lncRNA from 1 species